CCCUUAGAUGUCCUGGGCUGCACGCGCGCUACACUGAUGUGUCCAGUAAGCACCUAACCUCUUCCGAAAGGAACGGGUAACCUUUGCAAAGCACAUCGUGAUGGGGAUAGAUUAUUGCAAUUAUUAGUCUUGAACGAGGAAUUCCUAGUAAGCACACGUCAUCAGCUUGUGUUGAUUACGUCCCUGCCCUUUGUACACACCGCCCGUCGCUCCUACCGAUUGAAUGUUCCGGUGAGCUCUUCGGACUGCGCGGUCUGCAGUUUCUGCGUUCCGUGCGGAAAGUUGCGCAAACCUUAACAUUUAGAGGAAGGAGAAGUCGUAACA
rnacentral:rRNA from 1 species